rnacentral:rRNA from 1 species
UACGGAGGGGGCUAGCGUUGUUCGGAAUUACUGGGCGUAAAGCGCACGUAGGCGGCUUUGUAAGUCAGAGGUGAAAUCCCGGGGCUCAACCCCGGAACUGCCUUUGAGACUGCAUCGCUUGAAUCCAGGAGAGGUGAGUGGAAUUCCGAGUGUAGAGGUGAAAUUCGUAGAUAUUCGGAAGAACACCAGUGGCGAAGGCGGCUCACUGGACUGGUAUUGACGCUGAGGUGCGAAAGCGUGGGGAGCAAACAGGG